rnacentral:rRNA from 1 species
UACAGAGGGUGCGAGCGUUAAUCGGAAUUACUGGGCGUAAAGCGUGCGUAGACGGCUAUCUAAGUCGGGUGUGAAAGCCCCGGGCUCAACCUGGGAAUUGCAUUCGAGACUGAAUAGCUAGGGUACGGUAGAGGGAAGUGGAAUUUCCGGUGUAGCGGUGAAAUGCGUAGAUAUCGGAAGGAACAUCAGUGGCGAAAGCGACUUCCUGGACCAGUACCGGACGUUCAGGCACGAAAGCGUGGGGAGCAAACAGGA